UACGUAGGGUGCAAGCGUUGUCCGGAAUUAUUGGGCGUAAAGAGCUCGUAGGCGGUCUGUCGCGUCUGGUGUGAAAAUCCAGGGCUUAACCCUGGACCUGCAUCGGGUACGGGCAGACUAGAGUGCGGUAGGGGAGAUCGGAAUUCCUGGUGUAGCGGUGAAAUGCGCAGAUAUCAGGAGGAACACCGGUGGCGAAGGCGGGUCUCUGGGCCGAUAUUGACGCUGAGGAGCGAAAGCGUGGGGAGCAAACAGG
rnacentral:rRNA from 1 species